rnacentral:misc_RNA from 1 species
GCAUGAGCWGUUUUGGACCCGUGUCUGUCGGUAGAUCCCCCGUCCUCGUGCGGCCGACUACCGACGCCGUGUCCCGUCAUUCGUGUGGCAUAUGCCGCUGUUGCCUUUGAAGUGCUUGUGUGCCGGUACCCGACCUACGGGAAUUGGUGCUUYGUACACGGUUGCCUCGCGGUGGACGCCUUCGGGCGUGCCGCUGYGGCCAAGUGGCGCUUGCGGCGUUGCCUCGUGGUGCUGGCACAUUUACGUGUCUGGUGCCAUCAAGGCAGCCUCGCUCGCGUUUUUGGUUUCGGAUGUUGCUCACGAUAGAGGAUYAUGGCCCUUUUGGUUGCCUAGACCCGAACCUACAAAGCUCUCUGAACCCGAACGUGUCGUGGAACGGGAUGUUGCCUCUGCCUCUCCGCAGUUAGUGGUAGGAUACGCAACAUCCUGGGCCGAUGCUAGUAAKACGUAGGGGAGCUUGGCCCGCUCAAUUGCGACAACCRGCUCGGCUGCUGUCUGCCUUCACGGGCGGAUGGCUACCGACGCUGGACGUCAAAGAGGACGUGCUACCUGGUUGAUCCUGCCAGU